UGUUGGGAAGAAUCCGGCUGGCUAAUACCCGGUUGGGAUGACGGUACCCAAAGAAUAAGCACCGGCUAACUUCGUGCCAGCAGCCGCGGUAAUACGAAGGGUGCAAGCGUUACUCGGAAUUACUGGGCGUAAAGCGUGCGUAGGUGGUCGUUUAAGUCCGUUGUGAAAGCCCUGGGCUCAACCUGGGAACUGCAGUGGAUACUGGGCGACUAGAGUGUGGUAGAGGGUAGCGGAAUUCCUGGUGUAGCAGUGAAAUGCGUAGAGAUCAGGAGGAACAUCCAUGGCGAAGGCAGCUACCUGGACCAACACUGACACUGAGGCACGAAAGCGUGGGGAGCAAACAGGAUUAGAUACCCUGGUAGUCCACGCCCUAAACGAUGCGAACUGGAUGUUGGGUGCAAUUUGGCACGCAGUAUCGAAGCUAACGCGUUAAGUUCGCCGCCUGGGGAGUACGGUCGCAAGACUGAAACUCAAAGGAAUUGACGGGGGCCCGCACAAGCGGUGGAGUAUGUGGUUUAAUUCGAUGCAACGCGAAGAACCUUACCUGGCCUUGACAUGUCGAGAACUUUCCAGAGAUGGAUUGGUGCCUUC
rnacentral:rRNA from 1 species